rnacentral:misc_RNA from 1 species
UCCCGGUUAACCCGGGCAGUCUCUUUAGAGUGCCCAACUAAAUGAUGGCAACUAAAGACGAGGGUUGCGCUCGUUGCGGGACUUAACCCAACAUCUCACGACACGAGCUGACGACCGCCAUGCAGCACCUGUCUCGGAGUUCCCCGAAGGGCACUCCCGCUUUUGGGCAGGAUUCUCCGGAUGUCAAACCCAGGUAAGGUUUUUCGCGUUGCGUCGAAUUGAACCACAUGCUCCACCGCUUGUGCGGGCCCCCGUCAAUUCCUUUGAGUUUUAACCUUGCGGCCGUACUCCCCAGGCGGGAUAUUUAAUGCGUUAGCGUCGGCACUGUGAGUUUAAAGGCUCACAACACCUAAUAUCCAUCGUUUACGGCGUGGACUAC